rnacentral:misc_RNA from 1 species
AAGUCGUAACAAGGUUUCCGUAGGUGAACCUGCGGAAGGAUCAUUAUAGUAUAUGGAAUCUCCAUUCUAUAAACACCAUCUGCGUAUUUUGUACCUGUUGCUUCCAUGGGCCUUGGGCCUAGCGCCCGCAUCGGCCCAACGGCUGGUGAGUGCCCAUGGAAGAAAAACAUAAACCCUCUUUUUUAUGAAUCAAGUCUGAAAUUGUUUAUUAUAAACGUUAAAACUUUCAACAACGGAUCUCUUGGUUCUC